GUGGGGAAUUUUGGACGAUGGGCGCAAGCCUGAUCCAGCAAUGCCGCGUGCAGGAAGAAGGCCUUCGGGUUGUAAACUGCUUUUGUACGGAGCGAAAAGGCUCUCUCUAAUACAGGGGGCUCAUGACGGUACCGUAAGAAUAAGCACCGGCUAACUACGUGCCAGCAGCCGCGGUAAUACGUAGGGUGCAAGCGUUAAUCGGAAUUACUGGGCGUAAAGCGUGCGCAGGCGGUUUUGUAAGACAGGCGUGAAAUCCCCGGGCUCAACCUGGGAAUGGCGCUUGUGACUGCAAGGCUGGAGUGCGGCAGAGGGGGAUGGAAUUCCGCGUGUAGCAGUGAAAUGCGUAGAUAUGCGGAUGAACACCGAUGGCGAAGGCAAUCCCCUGGGCCUGCACUGACGCUCAUGCACGAAAGCGUGGGGAGCAAACAGGAUUAGAUACCCCGGUAGUCC
rnacentral:rRNA from 1 species